GUAGUUCUUCAGGGCGGGGUGCGAUUCCCCACUGGCGGUACAGUCCGCGACCUGCGUUUGCAGCUGAGUCGGUGCAAUUCCGACACCAACAGUAUAGUCUGGAUGAAAGAGGAGCGAG
rfam:Oribacterium sp. ACB1 genomic scaffold acqcx-supercont2.1, whole genome shotgun sequence.